GUCCACGCCGUAAACGAUGGGUGCUAGGUGUGGGAGGUGUCGACUCCUCCCGUGCCGCAGCUAACGCAUUAAGCACCCCGCCUGGGGGAGUACGGCCGCAAGGCUAAAACUCAAAGGAAUUGACGGGGGCCCGCACAAGCAGCGGAGCAUGUUGUUUAAUUCGAUGCGACGCGAAGAACCUUACCAGGGCUUGACAUGCACCGGAAAUCCGUAGAAAUACGGCCCUCCUUCGGGAUCGGUGCACAGGUGGUGCAUGGCUGUCGU
rnacentral:rRNA from 1 species